ACGUACGCUGGCGGCACGCCUAACACAUGCAAGUCGAACGAAGUAGCAAUACUUAGUGGCAGACGGGUGAGUAACAUGUAGGUAUCUGCCCUUUGGCCUGGAAUAACACGAGGAAACUUGUGCUAAUACCGGAUAAGUCUUUACGGAGAAAGCUUUAUGCACCAUUGGAUGAGCCUGCACUUGAUUAGUUUGUUGGUGAGGUAAUGGCUCACCAAGACAAUGAUCAAUAGCUGAUCUGAGAGGAUGAUCAGCCACACUGGGACUAAGACACGGCCCAGACUCCUACGGGAGGCAGCAGUGGGGAAUCUUGC
rnacentral:rRNA from 1 species